rnacentral:rRNA from 1 species
UACGUAGGGUGCAAGCGUUGCCCGGAUUUAUUGGGCGUAAAGGGCGCGUAGGCGGCUCGGCACGUCCGUUGUGAAAAUCGCCCGGCUCAACUGGGCGGGGUCAGCGGAUACGGUCGAGCUUGAGCAAGCUAGGGGGCAAUGGAAUUCCCGGUGUAGUGGUGGAAUGCGUAGAUAUCGGGGAGGAACACCAGUGGCGAAGGCGGUUGCCUGGGGCUUUGCUGACGCUGAUGCGCGAAACGUGGGGAGCGAUCCGG